rnacentral:rRNA from 1 species
UGAAUACGAGAUGCUACGGCGUCGAAGCAGUCUAUGUCAUACUUCCAAGAAAAGCUUGCACUGUCAUAAACAAAUAAUGCCUGUACCAUAACCGACACAGGUGGGUAGGUAGAGUAUACUAAGGGGCGCGAGAUAACUCUCUCUAAGGAACUCGGCAAAAUGACUCCGUAACUUCGGGGGAAGGAGUGCCUUAUUUUAUAAGGUUGCAAUAACAAGAUCCAAGCAACUGUUUACCAAAAACACAGGUCUCCGCUAAGUCGUAAGACGAUGUAUGGGGGCUGACGCCUGCCCAGUGCCAGAAGGUUAAAGAAGUUGGUUAGCAUCCGCGAAGCUGAUAACUGAAGCCCUGGUGAACGGCGGCCGUAACAAUAACGGUCCUAAGGUAGCGAAAUUCCUUGUCGGGUAAGUUCCGACCCGCACGAAAGGCGUAAUGAUUUGGAUACUGUCUCAGAGAGGGGCUCGGUGAAAUAGACUUGUCUGUGAAGAUGCGGACUACCUGCACCAGGACAGAAAGACCCUAUGAAGCUUUACUGUAACUUGAAAUUGAAAUUGGACUUUACUUGCGCAGUAUAGGUGGGAGGCGUUGAGAAUAUUCUUGCGGGAAUGUUGGAGCCAUCAGUGAGAUACCACUCUUGUAAUGUUAGAUUUCUAACUUUGUAUCAUUAUCUGGUCAAAGGACAGUUUCAGGCGGGCAGUUUGACUGGGGCGGUCGCCUCCCAAACGGUAACGGAGGCGCACAAAGGUUUCCUCUGAACGGGUAGAAAUCGUAUCUAGAGUGUAAAGGCAUAAGGAAGCUUGACUGUGAGACCUACAAGUCGAGCAGGGACGAAAGUCGGUCUUAGUGAUCUGACGGUGCUGAGUGGAAAGGCCGUCACUCAACGGAUAAAAGUUACUCUAGGAUAACAGGCUGAUCUCCCCCAAGAGUUCACAUCGACGGGGAGGUUUGGCACCUCGAUGUCGGCUCAUCGCAUCCUGGGGCGGUAGUACGUCCCAAGGGUUGGGCUGUUCGCCCAUGAAAGCGGUACGCGAGCUGGGUUCAGAACGUCGUGAGACAGUUCGGUCCAUAUCCGGUGUAGGCGUUAGAAUAUUGAGAGGAGCCUUCUUUAGUACGAGAGGACCGAGAAGGACAUACCUCUGGUGUACCAGUUAUCGUGCCAACGGUAAACGCUGGGUAGCUAUGUAUGGAGUGGAUAACCGCUGAAAGCAUCUAAGUGGGAAGCCCACCUCAAGAUAAG